AUUGAACGCUGGCGGCAGGCCUAACACAUGCAAGUCGAACGAGUGGCGCACGGGUGCGUAAUGUCUGGGAAACUGCCUGAUGGCGGGGGAUAACUACUGGAAACGGUAUCUAAUACCGCAUACCAUCGGCAGUGCCCCGAUGGGAUUAGCUAGUAGGUGGGGUAACGGCUCACCUAGGCGACGAUCCCUAGCCGUGCUGAGAGGAUGACAAGCAACACUGGAACUGAGACACGGUCCAGACGCCUACGGGAGGCAGCAGUGGGGAAUAUUGCACGAUGGGCGCAAGCCGGAUGCAGCCAUGCCGCGUGUAUGAAGAAGGCCUUCGGGUUGUAAAGUACUUUCAGCGGGGAGGCGUUACCCGCAGAAGAAGCGCCGGCUAACUCCGUGCCAGCAGCCGCGGUAAUAC
rnacentral:rRNA from 1 species